ensembl:processed_transcript 9130017K11Rik RIKEN cDNA 9130017K11 gene
AGAAGGGUCGGAGGAGGCUGCGGGCGGCUGGCGCUGCCUACCUUGAACUCUGCGGAAAGUUGGGGCGUGUAUUCGCGCGUCCAGAGCGCGCGCACCAGCGCCGCCAGCUGCUCGGUGACCUCGGCGCGGCCCGGCGCCGCCCGGUAGCGCCCCAGCGCUAGGAACUCGGCCAGCAGGUCAGUGUUGCUGAGACACUGCACCACCGCGUUCAUGAAACAGGUGUUGCCAUGGUUCUUCAAGCCCUGAGCGCCGGGCGGACGCGCCCCGUCACCCGAAGAUAUCUGCGGUUGGGAUCCCGGAGGACGAUCUGGCCCUGGGCUCCCGGCAGAGACUGGUGCCGGGCCCGGGGCGCAGGCAAAGCCCCCUUCUCCAUCGCCAUCGUAGGGACUGGGCUGGGCCGGGGGCCGGGGCGGCGAGUCCCCCGAGCGAGAGCGGCUGCCCAGAGCUAGCAGGAAGCGGUUAAGCAGGCGGCGCAGGGAACGGCGGCGGCGGGGCCGGGGCGCGGGCGGCCCCUCUCCCAGUGCGUCCCCCACGCCUGGAUCCAUGCUGGUCACGCACGCUGGUCCGGGAGCGCAGCCCCCGGGACCCCAGGCGGGCCGGCAGCUCCCCGGUCCUCACCGCCUACUGGAGGCGCUGGGCGCCGGCUACCUGAGAGCCAGGUGUGCGGACACCGGGCGAGGGCGGAGCCAGGGGCGGGGCCGCCACGCCCCGCCCCGCGCGGGAAUCCGGCCCUAGGGCAGCGCCCGCCGCCGGGCUCCCGCCCCCGCGGCUGGAGCUGGGAAUGCACUCCCCCUGAGCCCGCCUAGUGGACUUCCCCGCCCUUCCUUCCCGCCUUGGAACAGGCCUUUCACCUCGGCUCGCUUUCCCCGCCCAUCCCUAAACAGCGUAGCUAACCCAGGGAUGGAACCUUCAGAAGCGCCCAGCGAAGCAAAGCCCUGACUCUGGCUAAGUUUCUGAUCGUGGAAGCCAGGUGAAGACUUAGAAAAGUGACCGACGAGCGGUGCCCCUGUUCGUGCCCAGGUGUCCCGAGAGGCGCGCGCUGGCAGCUGUGCAGGCCCAGUAUCUGCCAGCAGUUUGGUCUUGGGGUUCAUUUUGAGAAUAUCCCCGGUUGUGGUGCCAAGGUAGAAGAAGCUGUCGUCAUCGGCCAUCUAGGAGAUCAGAAACAGAAACCUGAAGACUCAAGUCUCCCCAGGAGUCUAGGAUGCCCCUGUCAGGAGGAGAUGGAAUUCCAUAACUUCUGACAAAGAAGCUCAUGGUAACAUCGGUCCCCCAAGACCUAAGGACAGGUCAGCCCAGCUCUGAGAGCAGCAGAGUCAGGGCCACCCGCAGCUGGAGGGUGACUUUUCCUUGGCAUUCAUUUGGGUCUGAUGCUAACACACACAUGACCAGUGCCAGCUGCUGAAUCACCUCCAAAGGGCUCUUAGGAUAAAGGUGUGCUUCCUCUAUGGGGACACACAUGUGCUUUAUUUCAGUCUCCAAAGGCUACGUUCAUAAAAGGGGCUAUGCAUUAGAAAAAGGAAGACUAAAUCAAGGAAUGGAGCAGAGAGUUCUUUGCAUGAAUUAUGAUUCCGUAUUCAACCAUAUUAAUAGCAUCUCUUUGAGGAAGAGUCUGCAUUUCCACAGUGCACUUCCCUAUCAGACACUUUAUUGCCAAAGAAAGGAAUAGCCACGGUGGCAGACGGAGCUGCAGCGUGAGCUCAGUGUCAUCUGGCCGCACUGCUUCCCUCCAGGUCAGGCUUUGGAUGUUUGGUAAUGAGUGACUCAGGUGCCAGUGAAAUGGGACCUCUUGGCGCUUGCACAGCUCCUUCCCAGCUGCGUGCUCCCUCUGAGCUGUACCUCCUCACCAGCAUCCCACCACCGGUCUAUCCCUCCUCCCUAGCCUGGCCCAGUUCACACACACCCCUGCUCAGGCUGCUGCUGCUGCUGCAGGCACUUGCACCAGGUAGUCAGUGAAGCAACAGUCGAGGCGGUACUUACUCCCGUACUCAAGACUAUUCUUUUCAUCUGUCCCGUUUGGCACUCGGUUGGCCAGAUUUUUCUAUUCGGAAGAUCCAGUUCCCACACUCGAAUUGUCCCACUACAAAGAAAGAUCACAAUCAAAUGGAUACCUUUUUAAUCCUCUUAUUACUAAGUGAAGUCACAUAUACUUACGAUAUCCAGCGUUAUGUUUUAAUGCAUGAACACACUGGUGUUAAAUUGAACUGCUGAGCAUGUGUGUUACCUUACUUAUCUCUUCCUAGUAAGAACACUUGAAAUCCACUCCCACUGGAUUUCCACUUUCAGUGUUAUUUAACAUAUGCUGUGUCCAUGUAUUGUUAUGAACGGUAGUCGCCAUGGGGUAUACACACUGAGUGUCCAUCGAUCGACGAGUGGAUGACGAGUGUGCAUAUAUACAAAGGAAAACUGUUCCCCCUUAAGAAAGGUGGACAUCUGGAGAAGACCAUGCUAGCUGGAAUAAGCCUGUCACAGAAAGACAAAUAUUGCCUGAUCUCACUCUUGUGGAAUCUACAUGGAAUGUACCAGAGGCUUGGGUGGGAGAGGGCAAGCGGAAGAUGUUUGUUCAGGACCCCAAAUCUCAGUUAGGAGAAAUGAGGGAGUGAUAUCUUUUUUUUUUUUCUUUCAGAGGCAGGAUCUCAUGUAGCCCAGGCUGGCCUCAUAACUCACUGUGUAACUAAGGCUGGCCAUAAGACUCUUGCCUCUGCUUCCCAAGUUCUGGGAUUACAGACAUGCACCUUGCUUAAUGGAGGAUAUUUUAGUUUGGAGAUUCCUGUCUCCAAGGAAAGAGAUGUGAGAUUAAAUGAGUAAAAGUUCAAGUUAGU